rnacentral:rRNA from 1 species
UUGGAGGGCAAGUCUGGUGCCAGCAGCCGCGGUAAUUCCAGCUCCAAUAGCGUAUAUUAAAGUUGCUGCAGUUAAAAAGCUCGUAGUUGAAUUUCGGGACUAAUAUGUCGGUCGUGCCUCGGUACGUACUGGCUUAUUGGUUUCUCCUUUCUGAAGAACCAUGAUGUCAUUUAUUUGGUGUCGUGGGGAAUCAGGACUGUUACUUUGAAAAAAUUAGAGUGUUUAAGGCAGGCUCACGCUUGAAUACAUUAGCAUGGAAUAAUGAAAUAGGACGUUUGAUUCUAUUUUGUUGGUUUCUAGGAUCGACGUAAUGAUUAAUAGGGAUAGUUGUGGGCAUUAGUAUUCAAUUGUCAGAGGUGAAAUUCUUGGAUUUAUUGAAGACUAACUACUGCGAAAGCAUUUGCCAAGGAUGUUUUCAUUAAUCAAGAACGAAAGUUAGGGGAUCGAAGACGAUCAGAUACCGUCGUAGUCUUAACCAUAAACUAUGCCGACUAGGGAUCGGAUGAUGUUAAUUUUUUAAUGACUCAUUCGGCGCCUUACGGGAAAC